AUUGAACGCUGGCGGCAGGCCUAACACAUGCAAGUCGAGCGAGCGGCGGACGGGUGAGUAAUGUCUGGGAAUCUGCCUGAUGGAGGGGGAUAACUACUGGAAACGGUAGCUAAUACCGCAUACCAUCAGAUGUGCCCAUAUGGGAUUAGCUAGUAGGUGGGGUAACGGCUCACCUAGGCGACGAUCCCUAGCUGGUCUGAGAGGAUGAUCAGCCACACUGGGACUGAGACACGGCCCAGACUCCUACGGGAGGCAGCAGUGGGGAAUAUUGCACAAUGGGCGCAAGCCUGAUGCAGCAAUGCCGCGUGUAUGAAGAAGGCCUUCGGGUUGUAAAGUACUUUCAGCGGGGAGGCGUUACCGACAGAAGAAGCACCGGCUAACUCCGUGCCAGCAGCCGCGGUAAUAC
rnacentral:rRNA from 1 species